rnacentral:lncRNA from 1 species
UUCUUUACGGCUGGGUUUUUGAAAGUCAUGUUUCCUUUGGAAUUUCUACAGGCAAAGAUAUCUCCCAUCCUUUGUGGAAAGGUUUUUCUAAAACAUUAAAACUAGUAAAAACUGUAACAACAAAUCAGUAGUAGUCUGUCUUACUAGCUCAUGAUUUACAUGGAGAGGGUGUCUGUCCAGGCAAAGAGAAGUGGAGAAUCAACCAAUUCUCUCAUGCAACACACUAAUGUAGAGCCAAAUGAGCUAAGGAAUUUGGAUUUUAAACAACAUAACAAAAGCAAUAAAUAACCACUGCUGCAACAAGUUGCUUUGCUUUCAAUAGCAGAGGUACUCAGAUAACAUAAGCUCUCUACUGCCACACUGCAUCUGAAUAGACCUAUUACGCAAUAUUUAAGCCAUACUGCUGUAGACAUCAAAUGAGAAUUGAGGAAAAUUUCCCUGUUGCCCUUUACAAAUAAAUCACAGGCAUGCAAGAAGUGCUAUACAGUCUAAUGUG